UGGGGGCUCGUCCGGGAUUUGACUCGCUCUCCCUGGGACCAGAAACUAGAGAACAGAGGAUUGCUCUAGAGCAGGUUGAAAGGACUUCAAGCAGUGCAGAAAGAAGUUUGGACACAGUUGGCAGCCGCUUAUGAGCCUGGGACCCCCGAGGUUUCAAAAAAAAUUUGAACAGCCCCUUAUCGGGGGGGGGGGUCCUAGCCUGUUAAGCCUGACCAUGAAAAAAAGUCUUUGUCCAAAGAAAGUGUAUAAAAACUCUCAUGUCAAGGAGCUCGGGGCCGCUUAUGAAAAAGGCGACCCAGCAUAUGCUGAAUAAACACCUCUUGCUUAAAUUGCA